rnacentral:tRNA from 1 species
GGGCGCGUAGCUCAGCGGGAGAGCGCUCCCCUCACACGGGAGAGGUCGUUGGUUCAAUCCCAUCCGCGCCCACCA